CCAAUAGCGUAUAUUAAAGUUGUUGCAGUUAAAAAGCUCGUAGUUGAAUUUCGGAAUCAAUACGUCGGUCGUGCCUCUGGUAUGUACUGGUGUUGUUGGUUUCUCCUUUCUGAGGAGCCAUGAUGCCAUUAAUUUGGUGUCGUGGGGAAUCAGGACUGUUACUUUGAAAAAAUUAGAGUGUUUAAAGCAGGCACACGCUUGAAUACAUUAGCAUGGAAUAAUGAAAUAGGACGUUCGAUUCUAUUUUGUUGGUUUCUAGGAGCAACGUAAUGAUUAAUAGGGAUAGUUGGGGGCAUUAGUAUUCAAUUGUCAGAGGUGAAAUUCUUGGAUUUAUUGAAGACUAACUACUGCGAAAGCAUUUGCCAAGGAUGUUUUCAUUAAUCAAGAACGAAAGUUAGGGGAUCGAAGACGAUCAGAUACCGUCGUAGUCUUAACCAUAAACUAUGCCGACUAGGGAUCGGAUGAUGUUAAUUUUUUAAUGACUCAUUCGGCGCCUUACG
rnacentral:rRNA from 1 species